UGAAACACCUCCUUUGCUCAGACCUGAGAGGUGAAGACUAGUUCUCCAGGCACAGAUCAAAGGCUUCCUAUUGUUUCAGACAGCAGGACGAGGCAGAGCCCCAAGAGAACAGCCGACAUGAUGGUGUGGUGGAACAAAGCCUGGCCUAGACGAGGAUGUGCCUUCCUCCCCAUCCAUUCCCCAUGAAACUAUCAAGUGUGAAGCCCUGCAGAGAUUAGCUCCUCUCCCUGUUCUGGUUACAGACCAGCCCUUUCACGG
rnacentral:lncRNA from 1 species